UGUCAUGGAUGUAGGCUUUGUUGACAAUAUUUGACAUAUGAAACAUCUACAUAGCAAUACAUGUCUAAUGUUGUUUUCAUUGUUCACUGUCAUUUGAUUUGUCUUCAGCCAACAGAAAGAAGGCAGAGGCUUGCAAAACAAGGGGAGGCCCUGCACCACCACCUCUGACAAAUGCUGAGGAGAUGGCCCUGAGUCUGAACAGUGGAAGGCCAGUGGCUGAGGGAAUUCCUGCAGGGAGUUCAUCAGAGCCAGUCACUCCCCAGGACACAAGUGCCUUCAUAAAAUAGUGUGGAGGAACAACCGCCGCAGGAUGAGGAGGAGGAGGAAGGUCCAUCAAACUCCUCUGCACGGAUGAACACAGUUCAGUGACGUAUAGUAAAUGCCAGAGUGUUAUUCUAUGGAAUUCAUGUUGAUGAACAGGAUUUAACCCCACACUACUGUAUUUUCAGUUAUCAGUUAAGGAGUUAUAUAGACUUCAUCUUAUUAAAGAAAUAGAGAAAACUGAUAAAGAGAUGUCCUACUUAGAUCGACAGAUCCUUAAGUCAGAUCUGGAAAUUGAGAUCCUAAAACACAAGCUACAGGUAUGGUGUGUAUUGUGAUUGCUGAAUUCUAUAAAGGUUUUGGAUGAAUAUUGAAUUCUUACUGUUGCUUUUCAAUUUGUAGGAAAUAAUGAAGACCAAAUACAUUGUGACUUGAAUUUA